AGAACGAACGCUGGCGGCAUGCCUAACACAUGCAAGUCGAACGCUUGCCGGGCUUCGGUUCGGCAGGAGUGGCGCACGGGUGAGUAGCGCGUGGGAACCUGCCCUGUUGUGGGGGAUAACCGAGGGAAACUUCGGCUAAUACCGCAUGCGCCCCCGGGAGCGAUCCUGGGGGGAAAGAUUUAUCGCAGCAGGAGGGGCCCGCGUCGGAUUAGGUAGUUGGUAGGGUAACGGCCUACCAAGCCUUUGAUCCGUAGCUGGUCUGAGAGGAUGAUCAGCCACACUGGGACUGAGACACGGCCCAGACUCCUACGGGAGGCAGCAGUGGGGAAUAUUGGACAAUGGGCGCAAGCCUGAUCCAGCAAUGCCGCGUGAGUGAUGAAGGCCUUAGGGUUGUAAAGCUCUUCGUCCGCGACGAUGAUGACGGUAGCGGAGAAGAACGCCCGGCUAACUUCGUGCCAGCAGCCGC
rnacentral:rRNA from 1 species